rnacentral:lncRNA from 1 species
AGGUCUAACACGAAGUGGGAGGGGGGGAGUUGUGAAAGGUUUUUUUGUUAAUGCAAUGACGAAAUUAAAAAUAAAACUGGAAAUUAAAUACAACCAAACAUAAUUGAAAACCUUGGAAUAAAUGGACAAAACAUGAAGAUCGAACGGUCCUACAGAUGACCGAACGAUUCUACAUUGAGACCAAACUAUCUCUAAACCAAGUGAGGAAAAUGGAAAUCCAAGAAGGUAAAGAAACCAAACAAAAUAGACAAUAUGGUGAAUGGAAAAAGAAAAUUGAACACUGCAAUAGAUAAAUAUCCAAACACAAUUAAAGCCAUUAAAAUGCAACACUAAAUUAAGUGGAUGAAAAACAACUGAACCUACUAAUUAAACUAAGUGAAAUCAAGAGAAUUUAGCAAGCCUAAUUAACUUCUAGUAAAUUAUGUGAACCAAGGUGCAAUUAACAAAUAAAUUAAAAGUUCAAUUGGCCAAAGAAAAGCACAUAGCCGUGAGUCACCAUGCACCCAAGUCAAACUCCAAGUUCACCUUCUAUAAGCCACCAAAUGUGUUGACUUCUUCUCCCAUGUGCACCAUUUUUCAAGGAAAUUAACAUGUGCCUUCCAAGCUCUCCAAGACCGUCCCUUCUCUCCUUCCAUGCAGCAAAAAUUCUCAUUCAAUAGAAAAGCACAAAUUUACGUGAGC